UCUGUGAGUUUGAGGACAAGCUGAGCUGCAGAAUGAGUUCCAAGCCGGCAAAGACUUCAGAGUGAAACUGUCUUUAAAAAAAAAAAAAAAAAAAAAAAAAAGAUAGAAACAACACUAUGCAUUUGUGUGCAAUAGGAAGGAACCUAGAAGCAGAGCUCGAACUUGGAAGAAAUGUCUAUUUGCUGGAGCAUUUAAAAUUUAACCACGGGGUCCAAAGAGACAGCUCAUCGGUUUGCAAGCAUUUGCUCCUUGCACGGAGGAUCCAGCUCGUGUCCCCAGCUCCUACACCCACCUGUCACUUCAGUUCCAGGAGACCCAAUGCCCUUUUCUCAUCUCCUAGAGCCCCAGGUGUGCUUACCGACCUGGACAGGCAGACAUGCCGGCAAAACACUCAUCGCCCAUAAAAUGAAAUAUAUAAAUUUAAAAA
rnacentral:sRNA from 1 species